CGUACACUCCUACGGGAGGCAGCAGUGGGGAAUAUUGGACAAUGGGCGCAAGCCUGAUCCAGCCAUGCCGCGUGAGUGAUGAAGGCCCUAGGGUUGUAAAGCUCUUUCACCGGUGAAGAUAAUGACGGUAACCGGAGAAGAAGCCCCGGCUAACUUCGUGCCAGCAGCCGCGGUAAUACGAAGGGGGCUAGCGUUGUUCGGAUUUACUGGGCGUAAAGCGCACGUAGGCGGACUAUUAAGUCAGGGGUGAAAUCCCGGGGCUCAACCCCGGAACUGCCUUUGAUACUGGUAGUCUUGAGUUCGAGAGAGGGGAGUGGAAUUCCGAGUGUAGAGGUGAAAUUCGUAGAUAUUCGGAGGAACACCAGUGGCGAAGGCGGCUCACUGGCUCGAUACUGACGCUGAGGUGCGAAAGCGUGGGGAGCAAACAGGAUUAGAAACCCCGGUAGUCCCAUGA
rnacentral:rRNA from 1 species